UACGUAGGGUGCGAGCGUUGUCCGGAUUUAUUGGGCGUAAAGAGCUUGUAGGCGGUUUGUCGCGUCUGCCGUGAAAGCCCAGGGCUUAACCCUGGGUCUGCGGUGGGUACGGGCAGACUAGAGUGUGGUAGGGGAGACUGGAAUUCCUGGUGUAGCGGUGAAAUGCGCAGAUAUCAGGAGGAACACCGAUGGCGAAAGCAGGUAUCUGGGCCAUCACUGACGCUGAGCUGCGAAAGCUAGGGGAGCGAACGGG
rnacentral:rRNA from 1 species